UACGUAGGGUGCAAGCGUUAAUCGGAAUUACUGGGCGUAAAGCGUGCGCAGGCGGUUGUGCAAGACAGAUGUGAAAUCCCCGGGCUCAACCUGGGAACUGCAUUUGUGACUGCACGGCUGGAGUGCGGCAGAGGGGGAUGGAAUUCCGCGUGUAGCAGUGAAAUGCGUAGAGAUGUGGAGGAAUACCAAUGGCGAAGGCAGCCCCCUGGGUUAACACUGACGCUCAUGCACGAAAGCGUGGGGAGCAAACAGG
rnacentral:rRNA from 1 species